rnacentral:lncRNA from 1 species
UUAUCUAAAACAACAGCUAAUAUUUUUUUGUGUUAGUCUGAAAUUAUGUCAAUCUCCAUACAGUCACAUGCCACAUAAUGGCGCAAACGCUAUAAAAAUCAUGAUCAACUACUACGGCUCUUGCCUUCACAAAUGGUAAAUACUAUAGGAUAGAUACUUCUAUUUCCAUCCCUUCCCACAGCUAUCAUGAGAUUACCCUU